rnacentral:rRNA from 1 species
UACAGAGGUCUCAAGCGUUGUUCGGAUUCAUUGGGCGUAAAGGGUGCGUAGGCGGCGCGGUAAGUCGGGUGUGAAAUCUCGGAGCUUAGCUCCGAAACUGCAUUCGAUACUGCCGUGCUUGAGGACUGGAGAGGAGACUGGAAUUUACGGUGUAGCGGUGAAAUGCGUAGAUAUCAAGAGGAACACCAGUGGCGAAGGCGAGUCCCUGGACAAUACCUGACACUGAGGCACGAAAGCCAAGGGAGCAAACAGG